CGCCAGCUGACGAGUCCCAAAUAGGACGAAAUGCGCAUCCUAUAU
rfam:Schistosoma mattheei strain Denwood, Zambia genome assembly, scaffold: SMTD_scaffold0000004